UUCAAUGACUUUGCGAACGCUGGCUAUUUUGAAUGACCAGUCCGAAAAUUGGCUAGCCCGUGCUAUUUUUACCAAAAGGACCUCAUGGCCCCUUAAGUUAUUGAUUUUUCUGAGCUAGAUGGAUUCAGGAAGUCGGUGGGCCUGUAACUUGGCGGGGCAUCCCGGUUUCGGGAUUUGCAGCCUGGUGGUGCUUGAGACGGAAUACAGAUCUGAGCCUUAAAGUCCUUGUUAUUAUCAUCUGUGAUUAACCAAUUUGUUGCGUCUCAAAUUUUCAGCUUGCUUUCUGUUAUUUCAGAUGGGAAUAUGGUGGGCUAAUCUUUUGUUUCUGACUACUAAACAAUUGACUUUUGCAACGCAAUGUUUUUUGAUGGGGUAUUUUAUUCAAGUUUGAUCCUUGCGGAAUUUGCUUACUUCAACAUGAGAAGAAAAGCUGCAAAGCAUGCAACCAGUUAGAUGAACCAACCCGUAUUUGGCGUGGCAACCGGUAUGGCCUGUGAUGCAGAUUUCUGUCUCUCACAUGCAACCGGUAUUUUGCAGCCAUGGUGAGGUGGGGGAAGUGCAAUAGCCGAAUUGAGGACAGCUAUUUAAGGCAUAGCCGAAAUACAUAAAUUUUGCUCUGUGUUCCGCCAUUGAUUUUCCUCCAUUAUCAAACAACCAACAGCCCUAUGUUUAUUUGAAAAAGUUUGCUCUGUGUUACGCUGUUGAUUUUCCUCCUUUAUCAAACAACCAACAGCCCUCUGUGUUUAAAGCUCUUUGGAGAAUCUGAGCUUACAAAUAGGGCAUUUGAGACUAUCCAACCCGUAUCUUGGCAGUGCAUGUUCCCAGAUUUUCUGGUGGUUUCUGCAGCCAUGGCGUUGUUGGACUCUCUUUUCGCCUGAACUUAAACACAGAUUUUAGCCUCAAUUUUUGUGCGAUUUAAGAAAUGGUGUCUCAUUAGUUUAAGUGUGAGGCAGCGGCAAAAGCAGAGAGCUGUUGGGGAGUUUCAGUGGGUGAUUUUGCCCCUCUCUGUCAUUCUCCACCCCGAUGAUCACUCCAGUGAUCCAAUUACAAAACCACCCUUUUGGUAAAAAUAACCCAGUGUAAUCCCGCAAAUGGGGUCUGGGGAAAGUUGUGGGUACGCAUACCUUAGCCCUACCUUGUGAAGGUGGAGAGACUAUUUCUGAUUGACCCUCGGCUCAAGGAAAGCAUAAUCACAGCAGUUUUGAGAAAGAAAUACGGUAUGGUGAAAAUACAUAAUGACCUCUUUGUAUUCCUAUUCUUGUUGUUCCCUCUGUUUCAUUUUAUGUUAGGCUAUGAAGAUUUUGUCUUCUGUGUAAGUUGAAUCAGACAUAUACUAAAGUGAGCUGAAGAAAACUGUUACAUGGCGUGGCAGCUCAGUGGGUCUGUGAGAUAUGGGGGAAAAGUUCCAUUUUUGGUGUUUCAUCUCUCAUAAGUCUAACUGAUGCUUGCAGCCAUGGCGGUUUCCAAAGCUUUUUGGUUUUUAUCUGAAAAAGGUGAAUCUGAGCCUACCCAAAGUUCUACCAGAAAAGCAAAGAGUUGAGCAUGGCCUAGAGAAUGAGGCAUCAGAGAGAUAGUGAGCUUUUGUUUUUGAUGGAAAAAAAGGUGGAAGAGCUCAGAUGCACUACUGUAUCUGUCCAGUAAUCAGAUAACUGCUGAGACCCGUAUCACCUCAUGAAGUGCACGGAUUCCUCACAGCUCAACCAGUUGAGCCAGCCAGGAAUUGAACCCGGGUCUGUAUCGUGGCAGGGUACUGUUCUACCACUAGAUCACUGGUGCUUCUUAGAGAGAGAGCGAUUUUUUGUAAAGGGUGGUUGCGCCUCUCUGCUAUGCCUAUGAUUUCUCCAUUGUUAACCAAAAAACCCAACAGCCCUUUCAAAUAAACAAGAAAAAGAGAAAAAAAGAAAAACUUCAUCCAAACACACCCCUAAUAUAUUCCUCUUCUUUUCCACUCUUUGUGCUGCUGCUACCGGAUACUGAUGUUGUGAAGGGGCUGUGAUGAUUGCUUUCGUUUCUGAGCUAUGCUCAAUUAUGGCAUUGAGAAAAUAUCCGACUCGUAUCUUGGCAGGGUGACCCGGUAUGGUUUUGUAUAGCAAAUCGGUGUCUGCAGCCAUGAUGACGUCGCCUUUUCUUUUGCUUUGUCAAAACUUACAGCAAAUCUGAGCCCUCACUUUAACCCGAAGCCGCGUGUACGUCUCGAUUUAAGAAAGUAACCGGAAGGUUAGCCCUGAUAAGAAAGAAAGAAAUGAGGCAACACAGAGAGUAUUGGAUUUUCAUUAAAACGAUGGUUGCCCCUCUGUUCCGCCAUUGAUUUUCCUCCAUUAUCAAAACAAAUAAAUAACCAACAACCUUUUUGUUUAUGAAAAAAGCAGAAGCGAAAAGGAUUUAAGUUACAUAUAGUGACAUCUCUGGCUUUCCUCUAUGUGUGUGCGCGUGUAUUCUUUUGACAAGGUUGAUGGAAGAUACAUAACGUGGCAGUGAUGAUGAUGUUUAUAUGUUUGGGCUAACCAAUUCAGGCAUUGAGAUGACCCAGCCCGUAUCUUGGUGUGGCAACCCGGUAUGGCAUGUGAUGGAGAUUUUCUCUUUCUCACAUGCAACCAGUAUUUGCAGCCAUGGUGUGGCUGGCUUCUCUUUUGCCUUAUCAUAAUACACAUCUGAGCCCCAUUUGCUUGAAAGAAAAAUAAAACAGAAACUUUUCCAUGCUUCAGUAUGGGGUUAAGUCGAACCUGCAGUUUUCUGAUUACGUGUUAUAAAGCAUCUUGAAAACCUCAAAUGUGGCAUCUGAGAAAAAUGUAAGGGUGGUUGGCCUACUUCUCUGGUACAUGAAGAGGCCGUGAUGAUGGUGUUUCUAUAUCUGGGCUAACUAAUUCGGGCAUUGAGAUUAACUGACCUGUAUCUUGGCGUGGCAAGCCGGUAUGGCCGGUGUUUGCAGCCUUGGCGUGGCUGGCUUCUCUUUGCCUUAUCAUUACAUGCUUGAAAGACAAAAAAAAAAGAAUCUUUUCCAUGGUUGAAUGUUGGGAUAUGUUGAACCAAGUUAUAAAUCAUAUUGCUGUCCUAAUAUUUCUCCAUAUCUGUUCAGUAUCAGCUGAGCCCUCAUAACCAUUUUGGUGAAAUUUCAGUUCUGGUGUGUUUUGCGUUCUCCGUUGUCUGAUGAUUUUAUGCUUCAAACCAAACGGCCCCUCUUUUGUGGAGAAAAUUUAACUGAAAGACCUUGAUUUAACCUUGAGGCUUUGGGGGAUGAUUCUCAGAGUGAAUGACUAUCUCUGACAUGCGGAUGAUUUCUUUUUUUGCUUUAGGCCUAACAAUCCUUUGUGUCUAUGCAUGUUUCUGUAUAUGUGAAUUUGUGUCGUUUGUUUCAGUUCUUAUCUUCUCCUCACCGGCUGCAUUUCAAUGCAAAGCAAGCAAAGUAUCACAUCAAUGAUAUCGAAAACAGGAAACGAUGGGGCUAUGAUGAUAAUGUUUGCUGAGCCAACUGAAAUCGAGCAUUGCAGUACAGUUGCCUGUAUCUUGGCGGGGCAACUUUAAUUACUGUGAUAUGCAGCCAUGGCAGGUGCAAGAGAACUCGAGUAGACCAUUAACAGUAGUAGUUUCAGUUGGCCACCCUUGCGACCAUGUGGCUUCGCCACCGGUAGUAGUAGUAAUUGGACAGUUGGACCUCAUUCUGAUUUAUGAGCCUAGUCCAAUUCUUGGAAUUAUGUAUUCAUUUGCUUGAUAUUGGCGUUGAUUUCUGCCGCAGAAUAUAUCUGAUAUAUACAGACUUUUAUAAAGCUACCCUUUUUCUAUGGAAUGUCAUUAUUCGUCUUGUUA